AUGAACAGGGAAUUAUAUAAAGUAAAUGAACAAUAUAGAAGAAAAGGAGGAAGAAGAUGGGGGAAAGAGAAGAGGAGUAGAAGGAGGAGGUGGAGAAGAAAGCAUUGUUUUUUAAAAGCCCAGCCCUGAACGUAGUAUUUCUCCACUUAAAACCUUUGAAUAACUUCCCAUUGCUCGCUGGAUAAUCACUCCCCCCUUCACACCUCUCCCCGUCUCUCCCCACCCCUUCCAGUUAUAGGAGGUUUCUGGGGCCUGCUAGGAUGUGUUCACACAGCCCUGUGGGAAAUUGCCCCAUGGGGUUGCAGCAACUGAAUCGGGGGGAGGGGGUGGGGGGCACCAUAAUGGGCUCUUCGUAAGGAGCAUAGAGCACUGCACAAAGGGGGGUUUGGUCCCCGGUCUGUGACUCUAGGACCAUGGGAAAAUGACCUUCUAAGCCUCCUGUUCUUGGCCUGGGCAGUGAAUGGGGAGAAUGCGCCCUGUCCUGCCUGCCUUACUGGGAGGCUCAGGUGAGAUAAAGAGCCUAGAAACCUUUGUGAAUUAUCCAGUGCUGAACAAGUAAGGGAUUGCUCCUACUACUGAGUAAACUACCUUGAGAAGUGUCAGAAGCCCGCCUCCUUCAUCUCUCAGUGCUUUUCUUUCUAAUAAUCCUUUAUGUCAUUAUAACACUUGAU
rnacentral:lncRNA from 1 species